CUUAGUCUAUGUAUAUACUGUAUCCUACUGUAUCUUAGUCUAUGUAUAUACUGUAUCCUACUGUAUCUUAGUCUAUGUAUAUACUGUAUUCUACUGUAUCUUAGUCUAUGUAUAUACUGUAUCCUACUGUAUCUUAGUCUAUGUAUAUACUGUAUCCUACUGUAUCUUAGUCUAUGUAUAUACUGUAUUCUACUGUAUCUUAGUCUAUGUAUAUACUGUAUCCUACUGUAUCUUAGUCUAUGCUGCUCUGACGUCGCUCGUUCUUAAUUCCAUUCCUUUACAUAGUUUUGUGUGUAUUGCUGUGUCAUUUGUUAGAUAGUACUUGUUAUAUAUUAUUGCACUUGUCGGAGCUAGAAACACAAGCAUUUCGCCACACCCGCAAUAACAUCUACUAAACGUGUGCAUGUAACCGGUAAGAUGUGAUUUGGCAUAGGGAACAGGGGGCUAUUUGGGAUGCACAUGCUGUCGAUAACAUCUGCUAGAUAUGUGUAUUAUGUUCCCAAUACAAUGUGAUUUGAUCUGAACAGGACUUGAACUAUGCUGUGCUCAGAUAUGUUCUAUUCCAGGAAACUGUGUUGUAUGACUAAUCAUUAACCUGGCCAGCACAGCACAACUUGGUUGGCCCUAUAAUAUAAAUUAGGCAUUUAUGUGAGAAAAGUAACAACUUCUAGGAAAAGGUUUGUCAAAUUCCAGUAACUCAGACAAUUAGAGCAGGGCGCUGGAAAGCUAUGGUCCUGUAGGUUUUAACUCCAACCCUGUUCCUGGAGAGCUCCCCUCCUGUAGGUUUUAACUCCAACCCUGUUCCUGGAGAGAGACCCUCCUGUAGGUUUUAACUCCAACCCUGUUCCUGGAGAGCUCCCCUCCUGUAGGUUUUAACUCCAACCCUGUUCCUGGAGAGAGACCCUCCUGUAGGUUUUAACUCCAACCCUGUUCCUGGAGAGAGACCCUCCUGUAGGUUUUAACUCCAACCCUGUUCCUGGAGAGAGACCCUCCUGUAGGUUUUAACUCCAACCCGGUUCCUGGAGAGAGACCCUCCUGUAGGUUUUAACUGCAACCCUGUUCCUGGAGAGAGACCCUCUCUCACUAUUCCCUAUAUAACCUAGUCAAUCUCACUUUUCCCUAUAUAACCUAGUUACUCUCACUAUAUAACCUAGUUACUAUCACUAUUCCCUAUAUAACCUAGAUACUCUCACUAUAUAACCUAGUUACUCUCACUAUUCCCUAUAUAACCUAGUUACUAUCACUAUUCCCUAUAUAACCUAGUUACUAUCACUAUUCCCUAUAUAACCUAGUUACUCUC
ensembl:lncRNA